rnacentral:rRNA from 1 species
AUUGAACGCUGGCGGCAUGCCUUACACAUGCAAGUCGAACGGCAGCGGACCUUCGGGUGCCGGCGAGUGGCGAACGGGUGAGUAAUAUAUCGGAACGUACCUUUCAGUGGGGGAUAACGUAGCGAAAGUUACGCUAAUACCGCAUAUUCUGUGAGCAGGAAAGCAGGGGAUCGCAAGACCUUGCGCUGAUUGAGCGGCCGAUAUCAGAUUAGCUAGUUGGUGAGGUAAAGGCUCACCAAGGCGACGAUCUGUAGCGGGUCUGAGAGGAUGAUCCGCCACACUGGAACUGAGACACGGUCCAGACUCCUACGGGAGGCAGCAGUGGGGAAUUUUGGACAAUGGGCGCAAGCCUGAUCCAGCCAUGCCGCGUGAGUGAAGAAGGCCUCGGUUGUAAGUACGUACUUCGUCCGGUACGGAAGUACGACGACGG